rnacentral:lncRNA from 1 species
UAAAAUAAUUAUUAUUUUUCAAAAACUUUAGUUGGUGGAGAAUAAUACUUUUAAUAUUUAUAUUCAACACUCUCUUUCAUAUCUGAGCUCGAUACUUUUUAAUAGAUUUAGAACAUGAAACUAAAUUCAAUUGAAGAAAAUUAAAUGAAGGUAGGAGGGUCACUAAUUCGAACUCAACACUCCCUUUCACGUCUGGGCCCAAGAUUUUCUGUUGUGAUAUCAUGUUAAAUUAUGUGAAGCAAUUAUUGUUUUUAAAAAACUUAAGCUAUCAGAGACAGAUACUUAUAAUUUUUAAAUUCAACACAAAAUG